rnacentral:rRNA from 1 species
AGGACGAACGCUGGCGGCGUGCUUAACACAUGCAAGUCGAGCGGUAAGGCCUUUCGGGGUACACGAGCGGCGAACGGGUGAGUAACACGUGGGUGAUCUGCCCUGCACUCUGGGAUAAGCCUGGGAAACUGGGUCUAAUACCGGAUAUGACCUGCUCUCGCAGUGGGGGUGGUGGAAAGAUUUAUCGGUGCAGGAUCGGGCCCGCGGCCAUCAGCUUGUGGUGGGGUAAUGGCCUACCAAGGCGACGACGGGUAGCCGACCUGAGAGGGUGACCGGCCACACUGGGACUGAGACACGGCCCAGACCUCCCGACGGGAGGCGGCAGGUGGGGGAAUAGUUCGGCAC